GUAGAGGCUUUGGCAGCUGAGAGAGGAGGCAGAUCCCAAACCCCUCCAGCUCCUCCUGGUGCCUCCUGUCUCGUUCAGCCCACACCGGGCAGCUUCCAGGGCCAGGCUGGGGGAAGCAAGGGGCCUGGAGCACCUCCCGUAUGAAGAAAGGCUGAGAGACUUGAGACUGUUCAUCCUGGAGAAGACUCAGAGGGAAUCUUAUCAAUGCUUAUAAGUAUUUAAAGGGUGGGUGUUGUCAGCGGUUUAAGGGCUGGUCUGGCCUGGUUCUGUGACUAGUGGGGUGGAGGGAUUUCACAAAAUCCGCGCCUCCAGGAAGGGAAACAGGGGACCCCAAAAUAAUUAAAAACAGCAGCAACAAUCUGAGGAGAAACAAACUAAUUUACUAAAUAUAGUAUCGGAAUGUAAGAUAACACACAAUAAUACAAUAUAAAUCAACAAUAAUUGAGAGAAAAAUUGUCUGAAAGCCAAAGGCCUUACGCUAAUACUGAAGCCUUGCGUGCAGUUGGGAGCAGCAGUAGCGAGCCGAUCCGGCAGGGAACACGGCAAGAUGAGAAGAGGGACAAGUCAGAUGACCUGUGCCCUUAUAUCUGUUCCCUUGAGCAGGAAUGAUAACAGUACUCGAAAAGGCUCUUGGGGAACGUAGUUCUUCUUCUCUUCCAGACAGGUACCUGGAACUAAAGCAUUUGCUCUUUAAUUCCCAGUACACUGAAUGAUGUUGUGAUGUGGAAUACUGAUAACCAAAAAUCAUAAAACCAUGACAGGUGUCAAGUGGAUGGGGUCAGGAUCUUUUUAGUGAUGUCUAGUGACAGAACAAGGGGAAAACUGGAACACAAAAGUUGCGUAUAAACAUGAGGAAAAAAAUCUUAACUGUGAAGGUUACAGAGCACUGGAACAGGUUGCCCAGAGAGAUGGUCAUUUAUGCUUCUCUGGAGAUAUUAAAGACCCUCCUGGAUGCUUUCCUGAACAACCUGCUGUAGGGAACCUGCUUUAGCAGGGGGUUAGGUCUCUUCCAACCCCUACAAGUCUGACUCUGUGAUUUACGUAUAGAUGUACAAUGAAAUUAUUUUAAUCUCGAGUUGCUUCAGUUAUGUUCUUACAUAAGAAUAUAACCUUUCAUGAAGUAGGUAUAUUACACAUAACAUAUAACACAUAUUCCAUAGAUGUGUAAUAUAUAUCCUAGUUCUCAGGUGUAGUAAAAAUAGGAAAUGGAAAAUAAAUGCUUAUGAAGUGUCAUAAAAGUGAGAAGGAAAAAUCAAAAUUACUUAUUUAUUAUUCACAGAAUUCACCCAAAUUCUGAAAUCUUGAAUCAGUUCAGCAUCGCUUAGGAUUUAUUUUUACUCUGUGAGAGAUACUCAUAAAGCACAAGAAAGUCAGUCAGUACUCAUGGCAUUUUUUUUUUUUAAUUUUUUUUUCUUUCUGGUUUGGAAGCUUUGCAUUUCCAGGGAAUUGAUUCUUCUCCAGCUUCAGUUCUUCACCCAUGAAAUGGGGAUAGCCCUAUUUUCUCUGCCUAAUAUGCACUGAUCUGUAGAAAUAUGCAUUCAGCAACAUUUGGAAAUUAGUACAAUUGAUUUAUAUAAACAUUUCAGGGGGUUGUAAAUAAAACACUACAAAAUUAAA
ensembl:lncRNA